rnacentral:misc_RNA from 1 species
AACGCACGAGACCUGCGGACCUGCGGAAGGAUCAUUACCGAGUUCUCGCCCCUCGCGGGGUAGACCUCCCACCCACUGUGAUCACUACCGUCGUUGCUUUGGCGGGCCGCUGGGCCCAGCCCACCGCCGGCUCCGGCUGGCGCGUGCCCGCCAGAGGCCCUACAAACGCUGGAUAUCAGUGCCGUCUGAGUACACAUGUUAAUCGUUAAAACUUUUAGCAAUGGAUCUCUAGAUCGGAAG